CAAGAAGCAGUCGGCACAGGAGAGCUCGGGCAGUGGUGGUCGCUCGAGGUGCUCGCGGAUUCGCGCCGGCACGGAGAGCGAGUCGAGCGCCAGCAGCGUAGCACGCGCCUCCUCCACGUAGCCGGGGUCGGGGCCAGUUACCAGGCCGACGAUGAGCAGGAAGUGCCGCGCGCCCUCUGGCGGCGAGUAUCCCGUGGCGACGGCGGUACGUGGUUUCCGUGGGAACAGCUCACGCCACACAACGAGUUGCCCGGCCCUGGGGCUCCGCGUCAGCAGCAGCAGCCCAUGCAGGCGGCAGUAGAGCGUGACGGCAGUGAGCUCCUCCCUCGGUGAGCCAUUCCCAAGUGUUCCUCAUCUGCCAAGUGCUCGUGUAACGGGUUCCGGAGACACUUGUAGAGGACCUACACAGAAACCAGUAACGUGCAGACACAAGUACAGGUAUUACAGCCUCAGCUGCUAUAAACUGAGGUGAAAUGUUCAUUUCUGUUCUAAAUCAUGUUGCAGCAUACUUCUACCCUCUCAUCUGUCUUUCUACUUCCCCUCGUUGUAAACUCCAUUCCAGUAAUGAAAAUUUAUUGGCAAACCUCACAGUCAACCUCCUAUCUAUACUCUUUGGUUUUUUCGGUAAAGUCACGUAGGUAAAAAAUAACAUAAAAUAAAUGAAGACGGAAGUUUGUGUUGCCUCCGAAACGUCGUGAUUUAAUUUAGUUGUUUUCAUUUCUUUUCUUUUAUUUUUUACCGAAAAAACCAAAGAGUAUGAAUCCUUGCAGUCACGAAAGCUUCAAAUCUAGAACCUCCUAUCUGCGGAGGUUGCAAUUUCUCGACUGCUGCCCCAGAUAUAUGGAACUCCCUCCCUCUAAGGCAUCCACACUGAAGACUCCUUCUUGAAGUCCAAGCUUAAGGCCUUCUUUUUAUCUCUGCCUUUGACAAGUUGCAUCUGUAUUCAAACCUUCCCACCCAUUCCCCACAUGUCCACCUCAUUUAAUCUUCACCUAGUGUGUGUCCCCCACCUAUAUACAACACUAAUCUAACUGUAGAUACUGUCUAAAUGCAAUCAUACGUGAAAACACAAAAAGGAGAGGGGGGAAAAAAAGCUACAUUCAAGAAUGAGAGGGAUAGAGGUUGGGGUGCACUGGCGGGGAUGGGGGUAGGGGAGAGAGGGGCAGGGGAGGGAGGGACAGAACGGGGGUCAGGGAAAAAUGGGUGAGGACAGAGAGCAACACUGCGGCAAGCCCAGAACAAAGCAAUUGGGGCCCAGCAAAAAUAAAAAUGAGAACCUUGCUAUAGCCGGGCCAAAAUGUAUAUAUAUGCAUCGUGAUGUUUUAUAAAUCACAGCUGUAAUUGUGUAGCGCGAGUUGAGUCACUACAAUUGUGUGAAUCACAUCAUCUCACCAGCUCCUGAAAGUCUGCCGAUUCCAGCUCACUCAAUGUUGUGUCAAUGUCGACCUGAAUUGUGAGAAAAACAAAAAUAGGUAUUUUUAUUUUUCUGACUUACUACCUGGAAGAGAGAUAGCAUUAUAAUACAAUACAAAUUAAAUGCUGCAUUCCAACAAGCAGCUUGCUGAAUUUGUGGAUUCAUUCUCUGUAUGCCUCAGAUUUCAAAUGUGUCAAUCCGUGCUUUUAUCUAAAAAUGUAUUGAGACUCAAUGAGGAUUUCUUGAAUAAGUCGAGAAUUAUUAUUUUCCUCAUCACUUGCAUCAGAAUAAUCAUAAUUUUAAAUUCACAACAGAGGUAUCAAUGUACAACCUUCAAAUUACAUAUUUACAGAUGACGAAUGUACUUUACAGGAGAACAAAAAAAGCAUUGAGUUAGAAUCCACUUGAGAUCUUCAUUUGACUUGUGGUUGUUGUUGUUGUUGUUGUUUGACUUGCAUCCCACUGGGAUUUUUGCACAGCGUUGGUGUACGGUGUUUUUUUUUCUGGAAGACUUUGCAGGUUUUUCCUGGAUUUUUAUGUUUGCGCAUAGUCACUUUAAGAUGUUUUCUUGUUCAUGUUUUUGUUUUUUGUUUGUUGCGGUUGCACCCGAUUCAAGAGCCGAAUGGCUCACAGGGCUAUACCAUAUAAAUGAAACUGAAAUUUCA